rnacentral:tRNA from 1 species
GCGUUAGUGGUAUAAUGGUUAGCAUUGUUGCCUUCCAAACUUUGGAGUAAGCAAUAGACCCGGGUUCGAUUCCCGGCUAACGCA